AGUGAACGCUGGCGGCGUGCCUAAUACAUGCAAGUCGAACGGAGUGGCGCACGGGUGAGUAAUGUAUAGCUAAUCUGCCCUACACUAGAGGACAACAGUUGGAAACGGCCGCUAAUACUCUAUAGUGUAGGAUGAGGCUAUAGUGUAUCAGCUAGUUGGUGAGGUAACGGCGAACCAAGGCUAUGACGCGCAACUGGUCUGAGAGGAUGAUCAGUCACACUUGAACUGAGACAGGAGCAAGGAACCUACGGCAGGCGGCAGUAGGGAAUAUUGCUCAAUGGGUGAGACCCUGAAGGAGCAACGCCGCGUGGAGCAUGACACUUUUCGGAGCGUAAACUCCUUUUGUUAGGGAAGCGGUACCUAACGAAUAAGCACCGGCUAACUCCGUGCCAGCAGCCGCGGUAAUAC
rnacentral:rRNA from 1 species